CUGUGAUAAGGGUAAACCUGCCAAAAGGCAGGGACGCAAAGCAAUAGGGUCUAAGGUGCUAUUAAGCACUAUGACAGCCUGGCUGCCGCA
rnacentral:ncRNA from 1 species